UACGGGGGGGGCAAGCGUUGUUCGGAAUUACUGGGCGUAAAGGGCUCGUAGGCGGCCAACUAAGUCAGACGUGAAAUCCCUCGGCUUAACUGAGGACGUGCGGAAGAAACUGCAAGGCUCGAGUCCGGGAGAGGGGGGUGGAAUUCCCAGUGUAGCGGUGAAAUGCGUAGAGAUGCGGAGGAACACCGAUGGCGAAGGCAGCCCCCUGGGCCAAUACUGACGCUCAGGCACGAAAGCGUGGGGAGCAAACAGG
rnacentral:rRNA from 1 species